rnacentral:lncRNA from 1 species
CCCUGGGAACCUUUUUUUUCACACUUUCCAUUUGUUGCCCUUACUCCCCAAACGAAAAGGCAACCGAUCUUCUGAAACCGCCGACGACCGACAACAGACCCAAGCGGCCGACCACGAACUGAAAUUGACGGUGGGUUUCCUUCAAUUGCAGCAGCCAGGUGACAAUACUUCCAGUCUCCGAAGACCCAGACAGUUUUCAAGGACGCGCGCACCACCGAGAAAGCCGCCGAAUAAUCCCAGUCGCCCGUCUGGUUAGCGACGUCCUCCACACCCGAAAGGCCGCCGACCACAUGGAUCCCGCCCGCACACCGGUAGGUCGUUGAACACGAACUUCUCUGAUUCCGUCUACUUGUUCGUAAAACAACAACUUACGGACAUUACAGGGAGUUCAAAUAGUUUCUAGUUAAUUUGUUAAACUGUAAUUAUAUGUAGUAAUCAACUUCGUUUGAUGUUUUGGACUAUGCUUUUGGGCAAAAUUGAUAUUGUGGCAGUUCGAGAUGCACCUGCCUCUGGGUUCGUAUCUCAACUGCCAUAUGCAAUGCGCUACCAUUUUUUUCGAAGUAGGAUUAAAUUGUUUCUACUGCAUUUGUUAAUCUGUAAUUAUACGUAGUUAUCAACUUCGUUGGAUGUUUUGGAGUAUGGUUGGUCAAAAUUGAUAUUGUGGCUGUUCGAAAAUUUCCUGCCUCUGGGUCCGCAUCUCAACUGCCUUAUGCAUCGCGCCACCAUUUAUUUCGAAGUAGGAGUCAAUUGUUUGUAGUGUAUUUGUUAACCUGUAAUUAUAUGUAGUUAUCAAAUUCAUUGGAUGUUUUGGCGUAUGAUUUUGGGUAAAAUUGAUAUUGUGGCAGUUUGAAAUGCACUUGCCUCUGGGUUCUCAUCUCUUGCGCUACCCGUUUUUCCAAAGUAUUUGUUUGGCCGUAUACUCUUCUAUGAAAUCUGUCCCUUGACCUAUAAUAUCAUAAACUGAGACUAGAAUGUUUUAUGCAAUUUCUGGAACAUAGUCUUCGUUAGACCCGUGCGCUUGUGCUCUCUGCAUUCCCCCUUAAAAUGAUAGCAUCGUUCAUUCGUCUGUUUCCAAAUUGAACUUGUGCACAAUAUCUUUUACGUGUAUGUUCUUGUCAAGUUCACAUUUUUAAUCUGUAGCUAUUUUACAGACUUCAAAUGCGUAUAAUAAAUAUUAACAUAAUUUUUUUUUUGCGUGAUAGCCGACUUGUCUUUGCAGUGUGGACAUGGCCCGCCACCCAGCUCGUUCGUUGCACAGGAGUUGGGUCAAGCCUCAGGUGCAAAAUCUUAUGCUCGGUGGAAUGCCUUGGAGACCCAAACAUUCAUUGCAGCCUGCGAGACCGCCAUUGCUGAAGGCCAUCGCAGCGGUCGGUGUUUUACGAAACAAGGUUGGGCCCGAAUCUCCACGCUGUUCAACUCAGCCACUGGGCACAAUUGGACAAAGUAACAACUGCACAACCAUUGGGAUGCCAUGCGUCGAACCUACCGAUGUCUCUUCGAUCUAUUAAAGGGUAGCGGGGUCGAGUACAACGAAUCCACCGGUCGAGUCGUCGCAUCAGAGGAAUGGUGGGACAAAAAAAUAAGGGUAACUAUUUCAAUUCGCUUCACACAUUUUUCACAAUAUGUAACCAAACAAUCCCGUUCAGUAUUUUUCAGUACAUUUGGAAUGCCUUUUUUCGUAUCUUCCCUCUUUUUUGUCCCUCUUUUCGCAGGAGAAUAAAGACUACAGGAAGUUCAAAGACAAGGAUGUGAGCGAGAUAUACAUUCUCUAUCGUACACUUUUUGGCGACAGCUACGAUGGGGAGAAGUACGUGGUCACGCCGACUAAGUUGUGCCGAACGGGGUUCGGGUUGUUUGAGGAUAGUGCGCUCGAAGACAUUCGGGAUGCAAUCCCCGUGACGAGGAAAGUAGUGGUUCAAGUGACGAGGCUGAGCAAAUGGUCGGUGGAUCUCGCUUAAACGUAUCCGACACCACAAGCGGUGGUAAAAGAAAGUCGUCCGGUGCGACGCGACGGGGUAAGAAAAAAAAAACAUCUGCACGCGAGCUGUCGUUCUCCGUCGACCGAGCCACAAGUGCCGCGGAGGAAGUGGUGGCGAAGCUUAAUACCAUGAUGGGCUCAAAUGACAACACCGGCACUGCCUGUAUAGAGGAGCUCCUGGCGGCUGGACGACUCGAACGGC